AACGAACGCUGGCGGCAUGCCUAACACAUGCAAGUCGAACGAGACCUUCGGGUCUAGUGGCGCACGGGUGCGUAACGCGUGGGAACCUGCCCUUAGGUUCGGAAUAACUCCCCGAAAGGGGUGCUAAUACCGGAUAAUGUCUUCGGACCAAAGAUUUAUCGCCUUUGGAUGGGCCCGCGUUGGAUUGGCUAGUUGGUAGGGUAAAAGCCUACCAAGGCGACGAUCCAUAGCUGGUCUGAGAGGAUGCUCAGCCACACUGGGACUGAGACACGGCCCAGACUCCUACGGGAGGCAGCAGUGGGGAAUAUUGGACAAUGAGCGAAAGCCUGAUCCAGCAAUGCCGCGUGAGUGAUGAAGGCCUUAGGGUUGUAAAUCUCUUUUACCCGGGAUGAUAAUGACAGUACCGGGAGAAUAAGCUCCGGCUAACUCCGUG
rnacentral:rRNA from 1 species